rnacentral:lncRNA from 1 species
UAGGCACAGAGUGCCAAGGCUGGGGGCAACACAUCUAUGUCAAAAGAGGAAGCUUGGACACCUGUAGGACCUUGACACCCAGUGGCCUCAAAUCUCCACUUCCUGCAUUCUGCUGCAAUGCUCCUCACCUGCCCCAAGGCUCACAGCUGAAGGGGAAUUUGCCUCAGGAUGAGUCACACCUUUGAGUCUCAGUCAUAUUUGAUUUAAAUGAGACCUUGGACUUCAGACUUUUGAAUUGGUGCUGGAACAAGUUAAGGCCUGGGGAGCUACUGGGAUGGAAUGAAUACAUUCUGCAUGUGAGAAGAACAUACAUUUCGGACGGCCAGAAGCAGAACUCUAUGGUCUGAAUUUUGGUGUAUCCCCCAAAUUUAUAUGUUGAAACCUAACCCCCAAAGUAAUGGUAUUAAGAAGUGGGACCUUUUGGGAAGUGAUUAAAUCACAGAGGCUCUGCUCUCGUGAAUGGGAUCAGCCUUAAAAAGGUUGAAGGCAGCGGUUUUGCUCCUUCUGCCAUGUGAGGAUGCAGCAACAAGGUGCCAUCUGUGGAGCAGAGAGCAAACCCUCAUCAGACACUAAACCGGCCAGUGCCUCGAUCUUGAAUUUCUCAGCAUUCAGAACUGUGAGAAAUAAAUUUCUAUUACUUACAAAUUACUGAAUCUAUGUUAUUUCCUUAUAAAUAA